CCAGGCUCCCAGGGAGAGGAUAAGAGGGGCCUGGCAGAGCCCGGACCCAGCUGGUUCUCUCUGGGGAGCAGAGCUCUCGGGGUCCCCUGCACCAUGGCCUGGCCUCUCGUCUGCCUCCUCCUGCUCACCUGCUGCUCAGGUUCCUUCUCCCAGCCUGUGCUGACUCAGGCUCCCUCCAUGUCUGUGUCCCUGGGAGCCACGGCCAGACUCUCCUGCACCCUCAGCAGUCAGCACAGCAACUACUAUAUUGCUUGGUACCAGCAGAGCCAGGGAAAGGCCCCUCGGUACCUCAUGUAUGUGGACAGUGAUGGAAGUGCAGGCAAGGGCGAGGGGGUCCCCGACCGCUUCUCGGGCUCCAGCUCUGGGGCCAAUCGCUACUUGUCCAUCAGCAACAUCCAGCCUGAGGAUGAAGCCGAUUACUACUGUGGGGCAGGUGAUAGUGAUGGUUUAUACAGUGCUACAUUCUGUGAGGAAGUGGGACAAAAAUAUCCCCUGCCAGUCCUGACCUGGCCCAGACUGCUGACAUAGCCCAAGCUGGUAGGGCAUGAAUAGGUCCCUUCUUCUCUCUGCUUCUUCCUCUCUCACACUUUUACUUUCUUUCACUUUCUGGCUCACCUCCACAUCCAAGCCUGAUACUAAACUGUCUCACUCUGUCUCAGUCUUUCUCCCUCCCUCUUUCUGUCUCUGUCUCUAUGUUUCUGUCUCCAUCUCUGUAUCUGUCUCCCUCUCUUUCUCUCUCCCUCCAUGAUGUUCUAUGACCUGCCUGAGAAAAAACCAAGAGUACAUGAUAGAAACAGGUCUUGUUCCCACAUCUUCUUUAUCCAGAACCUGGAUUUUACUCAUGUUCCAUUGUGAGCCCAGGGAAAAAGAUUUACCUGAGUCUUCAGACUUUGACAAGUAGAGAGAAGAUGAGAGGGAGCCUCUGCCAUGGUCCCUACAACAGCCAACCCGGCUUCUUCUUGGAAAGAGAAAUGAGACAGCCAGUGGUCAUGAGACCUCGGCCACAGAUACCUUGUAGAGCAGCAAAGGCCCCAGCACUGAAGUGGGAACAGAGAGGACUCCAAGUGCUGGUGGUCUUGUGUCCAGCCUCCCUUUUCUUCUCUGACACAGCAAUCAGGUGGAGCAGGUCUUAUCACCCAACAUUUGGCUGUGGGCACAAGCAGCUGCCUGGUCCCUGCUUCAAGGCUGUUCCCAUUAAAGCCUAGUCUCCACUCUGCUGUCAAAUAUAUUCAGGCCUGGAUCUGACCUUAUCACCACUCAGUUUUCUUUGUUCCCUCAUCUCCUCAGCCUCCCUGUUAUUUCCUGAUAAAUGAGCUUUCUUGGGCUUUCAACACCUCUUUUGGCCAAAUCCCUUCCCACAUUCCUGAGGUUCUGGCUAUUUAACUCUCCAAUCACUACCUAUUCCACCUUCCAAGGACAAUGAGUUCAUGUUCCCCAAGCCACAGUCUGUCAACUCUGCCCAUUGGCUUUGGCUGUGUUCCUUGCCUAUCUAUCUAACUCUGCUUAUCCUCAGCUUCUUUCUUCUCUCCACUCUCAGGUCAGAUCCCAACUUCCUCUGCAAAAAGUCUUUCCCAGCCCUCCUUAAUCUUAGUGCUUUCCCUCUUUCCUCCAAUUUGUCUCUUUUAUGUGCUGUUUGGCUGUGGCUGUUUACAUGUUGUCCCCACCUUCACCUUAGCCUAUGAGUUCCUCAAGAGUGGAGGUUAUUUUUUUUUUUUGAGUGGAGGUUAUUUUUGCCUAUCUUGUAUAUCUGUAGAACUUGCAACACAGUAGGUGAUUAAUAAAUAUUUGUUGACAUUAA